GACAUCAGCAUCAUCUACACACCUGCUAGUGACAUCAGCAUCAUCUACACACCUGCUAGUGACAUCAGCAUCAUCUACUCACUUGCUAGUGACCUCAUGCUCCUCCUCACCUACUAGUGACACCACGCUUCUCUUCACCUGUUAGUAACUUGUCUGCUUUGUGAUAAGCAAAUUUUGCUAUCUUCCAAUUCUGAACACAUCAGAAAUCACCAACCUCUCCUGACAUAUCUUUCCUGUUUGGGGUUUGCCUGGAACAGUUGCGGAGACGUUAAAUCACGCGUCAAAACGGGAUGUUUGUGGUGAAAAGACAUGGGAAAAAUAGGACUAACAGGACGUGGAGUAACGAGUAUAAUGGACUGCAGUAGGAGUGAACAAGGAGUGAAAUACUUGAUUCGUUUUCUGACUAAAACAGGACUACUGGAUGACUAGUAUAUGGGAAAUAACUAGAACCAGCAGAUGGCAGUAAUGCAACGUCAAGGAUGCAAGCUGCCGUUAAAACCCAAAGAAGAACAAGAAGAAGAAGAAGUUUUAUGGCGCAGAGCAGUAAAUGACGAUGGUGACUUAUAUUAAAACAUUGGCAACUAUAGACAUUAAUCAAAUAUAAUUCUGAACACAUCAGAAAUCACCAACCUCUCCUGACAUAUCUUUCCAGUUUGGGUUUUGCAUGGUCCCCGAUGAACUCAACGUGGGAUGCCUUUCCGAUUUCUUUCACAUCAGGGCACUUAACCUCUACCAGGCCACUGAGAUGUUCUUCAAUUGGGUCCACCACUUUGCCAUCUGCACCAAGGUGUGUAGCAUCAGGGUGGAUGAUGAGACCAGAUGGAAGAACGUUAACGUCAAAGGUCUCCUCAUAGCGGUGAAGAACCUCUGGCUCAAGUUUUAAUCCUCUACACAUCUCUCUCUAGAGACCCCGACAGAUG